GUCCUUCAUUCCCUGGGUUGCUUUCUGUCCACUGUAACAUGCCACCCAUACAGUCCCAUGCAGACUUGAAGAUUGUGUUAACCAGCUUUAUUUAAAGCCAUAAAGGAGGACCACACAGUGAACAUAAUGCCAAUAAUGCAAACACAUAUGAGCUGUAAAAAUUUGGCAGCGCUGAGCCUUCUCCCAGGAUAAGCUUAUAUGAGCCACAAAGUUAACCAGAAAGUAAAUCCAGUCUAAGAAAAUCUAGUGCUGGGCAUAGAGAGAUGAUGGCUCAGUAGUUAAGAGCAUUUGCUACUCUUGUAAAGGACCUGAAUUCAUUUUCCAAACAUAUGAACAGUUCAUACCACCUGUAACUGUAGCCCCAAGGGAACUGACAUCUUCUGAGUCUGAGGCACCUCCAUUCCUCACCCCCUUAAAAAAAAUAAAGAAAAGAGGAAAUCCAGUCCUUUGUAGAAUAACCACUUAGUUGGUGAAGUCGCCCAGAGUGGUGGGCACUCUGGGUAGCUGAGACAGAAAAUAUAGACUUGUGGUAGAGUAGUUUACUGAUUUUUAUCUGUUAGGCUGGAGGAAGGCACAGCCUUUAAGGAGCAUCCUUUAAGGAACCCCAGUCCCUCUGGAGAGCAGGGUAACGUGUGGUAAGGCUUGGCUUGCUCUAUUCAGAGCAGGGCUGUGAAUUACUUACCUGGCCCUGUGCAGUUGCUUCAGCAGGGUCCCCACCGAGAAGCAGCCACUCCUACUUCAACCCAGCUCUUAUAUUUGUUAAGGAAUCAUUUCGUGAUUUUUGUAAAAUUUUAGUGUAUUAUGUACCCAUUUCCCAGCAGGUGGUUGGUAGUAAUGCUGGGAAACCUAGUAGUCUUUUUUUCAAAAUGUAGACUUUUCCUUAGAGCCCAGUAGCUAUAGUCAGAAGAAGAGGAAGUGGGGGAGAGUUCUCCAUGUCCUUAGGUUCUGGCACUAGAAACCUUUGGAAGAGAAAACAAAGGGAGAAAAAUAGAGCUACUCAUGCCUGCUCCAUUACAAUAAAAAAUUUAUUAAAUGCUUUGCAAAAUUACACAUCAGUGGGUAUUUCCUGCAGGGGUGUGUGUGUCCUUGAAAAGGCGGAAGAGUAGACUGAAGGCAAGCUGAGGGAAGCAUCUAUACCGGUUUUGCUUGAAAAGUAAAUAUUAGUUGAGUAGUGAGUGUUUUACAGGAGUGGAAGGCUUUUGUGGAAUUGGAAGUGUAGGUGGAGUUGCGAGCUCUCUCUCUAGUCUCGUCAUGGGGUUGAGAACAUCAGAUCUACUGUGAGUACUGUAGAAAUGGGAGUUGGUUUCUGUCCCACCUUGGAGGCAGUCAGCAUGGUGUGCUUGUCCCUGUUGGGGAAGCAAAGGAGUUCUGUAAAGUUCCUGGAGACAAAGGUGGACGGAGAGGGAUGUCUCUGAGCUACUGCAUCUGGUUUCCUGCUUGUAACACCAGCAUCUCACAAGCUAGGAACCUGGGUCCAGGAGGGGGAGUACGGUAAGGUUAGAGUUAGGGUUAGUGUUAGGGUUAGGGUUAGGUUAGGGUUAGGGAUAGGGAUAGGGUUAGGGAUUGUUGUUUAGCACCAUGAUUUUGUAAAUGAGCAACUAGCUCUGUUUAAAAAAAAAAAAGAUCUGAAGGUAACUUUUAAAGUAUUUCAUUAGUCAGUUUUGCUCACAUAACGCUUUGUAGUACAUUUCCCAUUAACCCUAGAAAUCCAUUUUUGUAUCAAAAGUCAGUACAGUGUUUGUUUCACUUAUACAGAGGUUGCUGUAUAAGUUGCUAUUAGAGGACUCUUAAAAACAAAUUCUGAGAUACAAAUAUAUGUAUAUCUGUUUUGC
rnacentral:lncRNA from 1 species